UUUUUAUUGGAUGAGGAUUGUCAUGUGUCAUAUUCUGAUUGGUUAAUAAAAAUAACAAUUCAUUUCAUCUUUCAUGGAGUUGACAUCCAAUCAAAACAUGACACGUGACAAUCAUCAUCC
rnacentral:pre_miRNA from 1 species